GGCUGCCUGCAGGAGAGAUGAUUUGCCCUCAUGUCCUCAUGAACUAUUAGGACACAUGGAUUCUCUUCUUCAGUUGAUCCAGGUAGAGAAAUACAUUUUUUUNAAAAACCAGAACAGAGUAAGCAAAAGAAAACAAAAAACUUGGCAAGCUUGUGUCAGUAAGGAAUUGUUAACAUUGGCAUGUCUUCUAGAGUUUUGACCAUAUAGAAAUAUUUCAUUUCUCCUGGGGAGGCCAC
rnacentral:lncRNA from 1 species